UACGAAGGGGGCUAGCGUUGCUCGGAAUCACUGGGCGUAAAGCGCACGUAGGCGGCUUUUUAAGUCAGAGGUGAAAUCCUGGAGCUCAACUCCAGAACUGCCUUUGAUACUGGAGAGCUUGAGUCCGGGAGAGGUGAGUGGAACUGCGAGUGUAGAGGUGAAAUUCGUAGAUAUUCGCAAGAACACCAGUGGCGAAGGCGGCUCACUGGCCCGGUACUGACGCUGAGGUGCGAAAGCGUGGGGAGCAAAGCAG
rnacentral:rRNA from 1 species